rnacentral:rRNA from 1 species
AUGCGCUCUAGUGAGGAGGUGGUCGAUGGUGCAGCAUCAUCCACACGCCGUUCGCACGACCCUCCUGUGCGCGCGAGCGUGGCACUCCCGCUUCCACCACCACCAACUAGGCCAGACAUGGCGUCCUCUUCUUCUAUGGCAACGGAUCACCAUGGUACUGACGCUGCGCGCGCUGACAACGGCAAGGUCAAGGCGCUGCGUGACUACCGACGCGCCCGUGGCCUAUGCUUCAAGUGCGGCGAGCGCUGGGGCCACGACCAUGUCUGUCCAGCAUCAGUUCAGCUACACGUCAUCGAGGAAAUGCUUGAGCUCUUCGGCGUCGACUCGUUGCCUCCUCCAAGCGAGGGUGCAGGGCCGAGCAACACGGUGAUGGCCAUUUCACGAUCGGCUCUCGACGGCACUGUCUCGUCAAAAGCUUUCCAGCUGCUGGCAACCAUUCAAGGGCACGAGGUUCUGCUGCUGGUGGAUAGCGGUAGCUCCACCUCAUUCAUCAGCCAGGCAUUGGCGCAGCAACUGUCAGGAGUGGUACCUCUGCAGCAACACUGCCGUGUCCGUGUGACAGACGGCGGUGAGCUCACUUGUUCUGCAGUUUUGCCGGCCUGCAAGUGGGGAUCUCAAGGGCAAGAAUUUGUCACCGACAUGAAGAUCCUCCCAUUGGGCACCUAUGACGCCAUUCUUGGUAUGGAUUGGCUAGAGAUGCAUAGCCCAAUGACCGUUGAUUGGAAGAACAAGGUCAUUCAAAUACCAACUCCUCUGGGUUUAGCUCGGCUGUUCGGCCAUGAGGCGAACACCACUGAUUGUCAUCUGAUUAGCAGUCUCCAUCUUCAGAACAUGUGUCGUCAAGGAUCGCUGUUGCAUAUGGUCCUUCUAUACCCAAUAUCAGAGGACGGCCCCACUACGCCCAAUACACCACCAGAUUUGCAUUGCAUUUUGGAUGAGUUCAAGGAUGUAUUUGGAGAACCUGAGGGGCUGCCGCCAUGUCGUGCUUGUGACCAUAAGAUUCCUCUAAUGUCAGGUGCUCAACCAGUGAACAUACGACCGUACAGGCACAAACCAGAGCUCAAAUCAGAGAUUGAGAGACAAAUCGAAGAACUGUUGAAUUCGGGAGUGAUACAACGCAGCACCAGUAGUUUUUCUUCUCCCGUCAUCUUAGUCAAAAAGAAGGACGACACCUGGCGCCUAUGCAUCGAUUACAGGCAUCUUAACGCAAUGACGUGUGUCAGCAAGUUCCCUGUGCCCAUCAUUGAAGAGUUAUUGGAUGAGCUGCAUGGAGCAGCCUGGUUCUUCAAGCUCGAUCUCAGGGCGGGGUAUCAUCAGAUACGGCUUGCGGAGUGUGAAGAAUACAAGACAGCCUUCCAGACGCACACGUGCCACUAUGAGUUCAAGGUUUUAUCGUUUGGACUCGCAGGGGGCCACCUACAUUCAUAG